rnacentral:rRNA from 1 species
GACAGAGGGUGCAAACGUUGUUCGGAAUUACUGGGCGUAAAGCGCGUGUAGGCGGCUCGGAAAGUCGGGUGUGAAAGCCCUGGGCUCAACCCAGGAAGUGCACUCGAAACUUCCAGAGCUCGAGUUCCGGAGAGGAAGGCGGAAUUCUCGGUGUAGAGGUGAAAUUCGUAGAUAUCGAGAGGAACACCUGUGGCGAAGGCGGCCUUCUGGACGGAAACUGACGCUGAGACGCGAAAGCGUGGGGAGCAAACAGG